UCCUUUUUUAUCUUUUCUUUUUUCCUUUCCCCCUUUUUUUCUUUUCUUUACCUUUUUUCUUUCUCUCUUUCCUUAUAGAAGAAGUGGAUAUUUUGAAAGUGCUGAACGGCAGCAGGGCGAGAGUGAAAAAAUAACAAGCCAAGCCAACCUCCUCUCUAGAUCUAUCAGGGAGCAGACGGAUCUUGCAGCAGGGAUUGAAAAGAAAUUAAAAAUUCUCAUUAUUGGAGAAAGAGGCUCAAGAAAGAGAGUGAGUGGGUUGCUUGUAAAGAGUUCUUUACGGAAUGCCUGGAUUGUUUUCUUAACAGCUGGAUGAAUGCUUUCCCAUCCUGGAUAAAGAGCCUCCUGUCCAUUCUCUCCUGGGUCACUCAGGUUCAGUGAAACAUCACAGCUUACGUCAACUGAAGCCAUUGAUCGGGGAG